rnacentral:sRNA from 1 species
UUUUAAAUUAACAGGAGAUUGAGGAAAU